rnacentral:ncRNA from 1 species
CGGAUAGAGGCUGCGGCUUCCAUCAGUAUCCAUAUUUCAGGUUAGCCAAACCGUUUACGAUGUGGAAAAAGGGGGAGCCGCCGAAGGUAAAAGGGCGGCGCCGGAUACCUGAUCCUGCAUGCGAACAGCUGCUGGAUUGUCAUCAUACGUAUGAUGGAGAGCUAUCGG